rnacentral:rRNA from 1 species
GAUGAACGCUGGCGGCGUGCCUAAUACAUGCAAGUCGAGCGAACGGACGAGAAGCUUGCUUCUCUGAUGUUAGCUGCGGACGGGUGAGUAACACGUGGAUAACCUACCUAUAAGACUGGGAUAACUUCGGGAAACCGGAGCUAAUACCGGAUAAUAUUUUGAACCGCAUGGUUCAAAAGUGAAAGACGGUCUUGCUGUCACUUAUAGAUGGAUCCGCGCUGCAUUAGCUAGUUGGUAAGGUAACGGCUUACCAAGGCAACGAUGCAUAGCCGACCUGAGAGGGUGAUCGGCCACACUGGAACUGAGACACGGUCCAGACUCCUACGGGAGGCAGCAGUAGGGAAUCUUCCGCAAUAGGCGAAAGCCUGACGGAGCAACGCCGCGUGAGUGAUGAAGGUCUUCGGAUCGUAAAACUCUGUUAUUAGGGAAGAACAUAUGUGUAAGUAACUGCGCACAUCUUGACGGUACCUAAUCAGAAAGCCACGGCUAACUACGUG